rnacentral:lncRNA from 1 species
GGCUUCAUAUAUCAGAAUAAUCACGAUGAAUAUUGUUACGAUGCCGCUUGAAGACCCAAAAAACAAAAAAACAAAAAAACCCCGACUUUCCAGGUUACCAAUCAUGACCAACCGUUACUCUGAAGCAAAUAGAACAGCCUCCAUCAACGUCACUGCAGAAACUUUUCUACCUCUCCUUCAACUGGUGCCAGUUUACGAAUUGAUCCCUGCAUGAGGGACUACAUCAGAAGGGUGCCAAAUUGGCAGGAUUUUACUGGAAUUCAGCCAUUCAUGCUCUGAGCUGUAUAAGCAAACCUCACAAUCUUCAUAAGCCAAUUCGGUCCUAUCGCACAUACUUCAUAGCGCGUGUAUGAUGGAGACUAUAAAGAACACCUUUCUUACAAGAAUCCAGUAUAUACUAACACGGAACACAUUUCAAAGCCACUUUGAACUCCGUAACAUAAGAAGCAUCGUCGGUUUCUAGCCCAAGAGCCUCCAUUGCAAACUAAUGUACCCACGAAUUGAAACAAGAGCAUAAUAUUCCAAACACGCAACGAUUCAUACUGCUCCAUUGAAGUACGAAGGUAUAGAACAAACCGGUAAUAUCAUGAAACUGCUGCCGAAUGAGUUGACUGCUUAGAACACCAUCAUUAGUAGCUGAAAAUGUCAGCAAGUCUUCUAGCUCAGAAGACAGUGAUGCCAAAUCCUUGCAUCCUGAUAAACUCGGAACAAAACAUUUCACAUCCAGCCGGAAAGCUCUCAUCGGGAUCCAUCAUCUUUGUGAUAUCAGGUACAAUCGGUGAUGAUUAGCUCGUUGAAUGCACUACCUGACAGCUCCAAAGGAGCUUUAACAAAAUGUGCCAAACUAUUUUCGGAUGUCUCUGCUUUCGACGAGCGUUAUCUCUUCGGGGUUAGCUAGCACUAAGAAGGAUGUCGCUCCAUCGAUCACAGCUGUGCUAAUCCAACCACUGUUUUCGCUUCAAGCAGGACCUACAGAGAACCAUCGCGAAAACACACAACGCCAAGGAGGCGGAAUUUUGGAGCAGAUUCUCAAACACGUAUUGCAAAAUAGUUGCCAACACAGAAACAUGUGGAAUAGAGGAUAAUAGAAAGACAAGAAUGCUCGUUCCUGAGGGGGUUCUUCCCUCAUCUACGAAACACCAAUUGAACAGCACUCUUCGUCACUGUUCAUUCAUUCUUCAAAUACAGAAUACCAGCGAAGAAACCUCACACUUGUCAAGUGUCACACCAAAUCAAUAAUUCAGUACAGCACAGAACUGAAUGCCUCAGAGUUUCACGAAUUUUAGCAUGCCUCCCAUAAGUUACGAAUCAAAUUAAAAACCUAAAUGGAUCAUCCGCAACUAAAAAACCGUUCCAUUAAAACCAAUCCCAAUCUUUGCUCUCCUGCAUCUCAACAAUGCAAGCCAGUGAUACUUCAUCACAACCCUUAGACAAACAACUUUGCGAAAGAAAGGUCCUCGGCUCCACCAACAGGGAACGUAACAAGCUUUCUACAUCGCCAUCGCGCAGGAGCUGAACACCGGUCAAACAUAAGGUGCAAAACCACACAAAACUACCACAAGACCACCUCACGAAGCCCCUUCCCAAUCACAAUGAUGCAUUACACGGACGGUCAAGUAGUACCUCCGAAAUCGAAUGGAAGUUCCGAGUCGAUAAUAACAAAUGCGAGGGUUCAGCGAGUGCACUGAUCGAUGAAAGCGGUUCCGACAUAGCCGAAUACCAGGUCUGGUUGGAAAC